rnacentral:rRNA from 1 species
CCUACGGGAGGCAGCAGUGGGGAAUCUUGCGCAAUGGGCGAAAGCCUGACGCAGCAACGCCGCGUGCGGGAAGAAGGCCCUCGGGUUGUAAACCGCUUUCAGCAGGAACGAAAAUGACGGUACUUGCAGAAGAAGGUGCGGCCAACUACGUGCCAGCAGCCGCGGUGACACGUAGGCACCAAGCGUUGUCCGGAUUUAUUGGGCGUAAAGAGCUCGUAGGCGGUUCGGUAAGUCGGGUGUGAAAACUUUGGGCUUAACCCAAAGCCUGCAUCUGAUACUGCUGUGACUAGAGUUCGGUAGGGGAGCGGGGAAUUCCUAGUGUAGCGGUGAAAUGCGCAGAUAUUAGGAGGAACACCGGUGGCGAAGGCGCCGCUCUGGGCCGAUACUGACGCUGAGGAGCGAAAGCGUGGGUAGCAAACAGGAUUAGAUACCCUGGUAGUCCACGCCGUAAACGUUGGGCACUAGGUGUGGGUUUCAACCAACGAAAUCCGCGCCGUCGCUAACGCAUUAAGUGCCCCGCCUGGGGAGGUACGGCCGCGAGUAAACGUACAAUAGAUGACGCGNGAGACNGCGACGACGACACGAGGGAGAG